UACAGCACUGAACCCUGGGGGAAAUGUAGAGGUGUGGAGAGUUCAGGUCCAGAAAGUAAAGAUUUGGUUGAGAGUUGGUUUCAGGAAGUUUCAAUAACCAGGAAGUGAUUCUAAUCCCGAACACUGCUGUUCUUCAAAGUGUCGCAUAAAAUCUGGAACUGGAUUAAUCUCCAUCUCAAAGACUCCUCCGCACCCUGUGGAUCCGAAGAAACAAUUAAAGACACGGCACGUAACAAAGAACAACUCUGGUCUCUAUUCCACAUCGGACCAACAGGGGAGCCACGGUAUUCUGGAAGACGCACAGACACAAGACCCUUACCGAAGUGUGAAACUGGCUGCCUGCAAGCAUUUAGUCUGAAUGCUCCUUCUCUCAGCUUUACCUCACACUCGGUCAUGGCAGCCUGCAUAAACACACAGAAGGCAGACUCAGCAGAUACCGACUGCAAUGUCAUCCUGUUUCCCUACGAAAACAUCGAAGGUCCCGAAAUCUCGCUGUCGCCUGGCGGGAGCCCAGCCAGGGCCAGACACGCGAAUGUCACGCAACGUGCAGCGGAAGGGUCUUCGGUGGCAUGAGGCGACAUUUUUACAGGAAGUGGGGCGUCCACACAGGACGUGGCUGAGAACACAGUCUGAGGGGUUCUGAAGGAAGGGGCAAUUUCAUCCUGACACUGAUGGUGACAUCAGAGGCUACUGUCCCUUAACAGCUAGCCAAACACAUAACAUAAUGAGAGGGGUAGAGGAAAUGGCACCUUUUAAGGUUAAAACCUGAAACAAACUGGGCUCUGCGAAAAUUAGGCCCGUCAUACUGAUUUCAGACUUUUCCUUACUAUCCCCUCUUACUAUGAUGCACACGGAAACGAACAUGAAUAAGUGGAAGGGGAUUAAAUUUAGUCAGAGCAUCUGUGGACAGAAGGUCAUGGGUUCAGAUCCCAUGGUUGUGAUGUCAUUGUUAGGCCCCUGAGCAAGGUCUUCAAUCCCAGUCGCUGCCGGUAUUGGCCGAUCCUGCUCUCUCAGAUCUUCCUUGUGAGAGUAAAUAAAAGCUAAACAAACAAAUCCAGUAAAAUUUAAAGGAAUGAAAAGGUAGAAGUUAAGAAAGCAUGAGCUAAUACGAACUGGAAAUAAUUAAUCUUGUAUUUUAUGGAUACUGCAGCAAAACGGUGAGAUUAGGCUACAGAUUGCUGAUGAUCAUGCCGUCCGGGUUUUACGACCCGAUAAAACGACUUCUUGGGCAUAACGGGAACAGAGCUUGUUGGAUUAAGAGAAAUCGUGCGGAUAUAAAUAUGGAAAGCCAAUCAGAUACUGAGCUCUAAUGACAGCGAAUCACGCGGCAAUAAAUCACAGCGGAGUAGGUUAGGGACUGAGACGUUCCCUGCUUCUGCGGCUCAGAAGCGAGCGUUUCAUUACACCUUCAUCACCCUCUUGCACCAGGGCCGCAUCCAGAGUCUCUGUGAACGUCGCCUGAGGCAGGGGGCCGAGGAAAACCCCGUCGACAGAAUCGCAGAGGCUAUCGCCAGUGAGGACAUUUCUCACAUACCCAGUGGUGUCAGGACACGCAUAGUGGCGUAGAUCUGCCAGAAAAUUACAUCUCAAUCUGCCUUUUACAGCAAUACUCAAAACUCAGCGAUUAGUAAGGACUUUUAUAAAGGGUCAUGCUACCUUUCUUUUAGGGAUAUUGUAAUGAGGUUAAUUAUUCUCUUCAAAAAUCUCCAAGGUUUUGCAAACAUAGACUAAAAACAUGCGCACAGCCAGAAACGAAUGCUGACCAGAAUUAUUAUAUUCCUUGAAUAAAUAAUAUCGGGAAUUUUAUUCAUUUAUAAACGUUCACAUACAUUUUCAUCCCAUGUGCUUUACUGUCACACCAUGUUAUAUUGGCAAAUCUGUGCACUUCUUGAGCUCUGGGAAGAAACGCUUAAUUGAAUUAUACAGCCGUGGGUAUUAAUGCAGCUGCUGCAUAUUAAUAUUCGACGCUGAUGAGAUAAAGAAUGCAGAGUCAGUGCAGAACCUCAAAAAAACACACCCAAUGUGCCUCUCAGAGAAGAAAUCUUGUGAGCUUCAUGAUGGUAAAUAAGAACGUAUGAUAAAAAUGUAAAAGAAUUUCAGAUUGAAAUACACUUCGGCAUACAAAUUUUUGAUAUAUCCUCUUUUUCGAUUUUGCUGCAGAAGACAAACCUAAAUCAUUUCACCCCAGCAACCCUAAAAAGUCAAAUCUCACAAAAAAAAAAAAAAAAACACUUUAUUACAUUCUGACUUCAGCACCAGCGCAGUUGCA